rnacentral:rRNA from 1 species
CCUACGUGUGGCAGCAGUGGGGAAUAUUGGACAAUGGGCGAAAGCCUGAUCCAGCCAUGCCGCGUGUGUGAAGAAGGCCUUCGGGUUGUAAAGCACUUUCAGUGGGGAAGAAAGCCUUGGGGCUAAUACCCUCGAGGAAGGACAUCACCCACAGAAGAAGCACCGGCUAACUCCGUGCCAGCAGCCGCGGUAAUACGGAGGGUGCGAGCGUUAAUCGGAAUUACUGGGCGUAAAGCGCGCGUAGGCGGUCUGAUAAGCCGGUUGUGAAAGCCCCGGGCUCAACCUGGGAACGGCAUCCGGAACUGUCAGGCUAGAGUGCAGGAGAGGAAGGUAGAAUUCCCGGUGUAGCGGUGAAAUGCGUAGAGAUCGGGAGGAAUACCAGUGGCGAAGGCGGCCUUCUGGACUGACACUGACGCUGAGGUGCGAAAGCGUGGGUAGCAAACAGGAUUAGAUACCCCGGUAGUC